rnacentral:rRNA from 1 species
GGUAACCUACCCUCGGGACGGGGAUAACCCCGGCGAAAGUGGGGCUAAUCCCCGAUAGGCGGGGCGGCCUGGAACGGUCCUCCGCCGAAAGGGCCCGGGCCCAUGCCGCCCGGGUCCGCCCGAGGAUGGGCCUGCGGCCGAUUAGGUAGUUGGCGGGGUAACGGCCCGCCAAGCCGAUAAUCGGUACGGGCGGUGAGAGCCGGAGCCCGGAGACGGGGACUGAGACAAGGCCCCGGGCCCUACGGGGCGCAGCAGGCGCGAAACCUCCGCAAUGCGGGCAACCGCGACGGGGGGACCCCGAGUGCCGUCGGGGCAAAGCCCCGGCGGCUGUACCGGGGUGUAAAAAGCCCCGGGUAGAAAGCGGCGGGCAAGACCGCUGCCAGCCGCCGCGGUAAUAGCGGCGCCGCAAGUGGUGGCCGCUUUUAUUGGGCCUAAAGGGGCCGUAGCCGGUCCCGUGGGUCCCCGCCGAAAGCCCGCGGCUUAACCGCGGGAGUCGGCGGGGAAACUGCGGGACUUGGGACCGGGAGAGGCCGGAGGUACCCCCGGGGUAGGGGUGAAAUCCUGUCAUCCCGGGGGGACCGCCAGUGGCGAAGGCGUCCGGCUGGAACGGGUCCGACGGUGAGGGCCGAAAGCCGGGGGAGCAAACCGGAUUAGAUACCCGGGUAGUCCCGGCUGUAAACGAUGCGGACUAGGUGUUGGGGCGGCCACGAGCCGCCCCAGUGCCGUAGGGAAGCCGUUAAGUCCGCCGCCUGGGGAGUACGGCCGCAAGGCUGAAACUUAAAGGAAUUGGCGGGGGNNNNNNNNNNNNNNNNNNNNNNNNNNNNNNNNNNNNNNNNNNNNNNNNNNNNNNUAAAGGAAUUGGCGGGGGAGCACCACAACCGGUGGAGCCUGCGGUUUAAUUGGAUUCAACGCCGGAAACCUUACCGGGGGCGACAGCAGGAUGAAGGCCAGGUUGACGACCUUGCCGGACGAGCUGAGAGGAGGUGCAUGGCCGCCGUCAGCUCGUGCCGUGAGGUGUCCUGUUAAGUCAGGUAACGAGCGAGACCCCCGCCCGCAGUUGCCAGCGGGCCCCGUAAGGGGCGCCGGGCACUCUGCGGGGAUCGCCGCCGUUAAGGCGGAUGAAAGUGGGGGCGACGGCAGGUCCGUAUGCCCCGAAACCCCCGGGCUACACGCGGGCUACAAUGGCGGGGACAAUGGGAUCCGACCCCGAAAGGGGGAGGAAAUCCCCUAAACCCCGUCGUAGUUCGGAUUGCGGGCUGCAACUCGCCCGCAUGAAGGUGGAAUCGGUAGUAACCGUGCCUCAGAAUGGCACGGUGAAUACGUCCCUGCUCCUUGCACACACCGCCCGUCACGCCACCCGAGCCCCCCGGGGGCAAGCCCCCGGUCCGCAAGGGCUGGGGGCGAGCCCCCGGGGGGUGAGGGGGGCGAAGUCGUAACAAGGUAGCCGUAGGGGAACCUGCGGCUGGAUCACCUCCA